UUUAAUGUAUGGCCUCCAUCUGCUGAUGGUACAAAGGUUUGAGUGCAUGAACGAGGUUAAUUCCUUUUGAUUUCUCUCUUGCUUUGUGCAAUGUCGACAGUUGUUGAACAUCUCACAUAAUUACUUCAAAGCGUUGCUCAUUUUGAGCUUCAUUUUGAACACUUGGUCUCAAAUCAGGUAGGAAAACCCGCUGAACUUAA
rnacentral:misc_RNA from 1 species